rnacentral:rRNA from 1 species
UCAGCCGCCGCGGUAAAACCAGCACCUCGAGUGGUCAGGAGGUUUAUUGGGCCUAAAGCAUCCGUAGCCGGUUGUUUAAGUUUUCGGUUAAAUCUAUGCGCUUAACGUAUAGGCUGCCGAAAAUACUGGACAGCUAGGGAGUGGGAGAGGUACACGGUACUCAAUAGGAAGGGGUAAAAUCCUUUGAUCUGUUGAUGACCACCUGUGGCGAAGGCGGUGUACCAGAACACGUUCGACGGUGAGGGAUGAAAGCUGGGGGAGCAAACCGGAUUAGAUACCCGGGUAGUCCCAGCUGUAAACGAUGCAAACUCGGUGAUGCAUUGGCUUGUGGCCAAUGCAGUGCCGCAGGGAAGCCGUUAAGUUUGCCGCCUGGGAAGUACGUACGCAAGUAUGAAACUUAAAGGAAUUGGCGGGGGAGCACA